GGGGAUAUAGCUCAGGGGGUAGAUCAUUCGAAUGCAGAUCGAGAGGUCCUCGGUUCAAACUAGGAUGCCCCCC